rnacentral:rRNA from 1 species
GGUAACAGCUCACCAGUCGAGAUCCAGGGCCCCGAAAAUUGACGGGGCUAAGCCGAUUACCGAUACCACGGAGCACCGCAAGGUGAUCUAGUAGGGAGGCGCUCUGCGUGGGCAGAAGCAUCUGCGUAAGCAGGUGUGGACCGCGUAGAGACGAAAAUCCUGGUAGCAGUAGCAGCAAAGUCGGGUGAGAAUCCCGAUCGCCGUAAGGGCCAGGGUUCCUCGGCAAUGUUCGUCAGCCGAGGGUCAGUCGGUCCUAAGACGUACCUUAAUCGGAGUACGCCAAAUGGGAAACAGGUUAAUAUUCCUGUACCUUUCAGCAUUAAAACCAACACUUCCGGAUAUGUCAGGCAUUCUUGCCUGGAUGUUCAAGCGUCUCAAAUCUGCGGAGAGCCGUAAUGGCGAGAAACAGAUUAAAGCGUGAUGACGUAAGCUGGCAAAUUCUAGGAGUCCGUGAAAAGGGAGCUGAAAGACCGUACCGAGAUCCAACACUGGUGCCCCAAGCUGAGAAGGCUAAGGCGUGUCGGCAUAUGCUAGCUAAGGGAAUUCGGCAAAAUAGCCACGUAACUUCGGGAUAAGUGGUGCCUGCUUUGCAAGAAGCAGGUCGCAGCGACGAGGGGACUCUAACUGUCUAAUAACAACAUAGGUGAUUGCGAAUCCGUAAGGACUAGUACAAUCACUGAAUCCUGCCCAGUGCAGGUACCUGAAAACCCGGUUCAACGGGAAGAAGGGCCUGUCAACGGCGGGGGUAAUGACCCUCUUAAGGUAGCGUAGUACCUUGGCGCUUAAUUGGCGGCUUGCAUGAAUGGAUCAAUGAGAGUCCCACUGUCCCUAGCUGGUACCCGGUGAACCUUACGUUCCAGUGCAGAGUCUGGAGACCCCUAAUGGGAAGUGAAGACCCCGUGGAGCUUUACUGCAGCCUGCCGUUGGGUUGUGGUUUUGAUUGUAGAGCAUAGGUAGGAGACGUCGAAGCUCGGGCGCCAGUCCGAGUGGAGUCGCCCUUGGAAUACUACCCUUUCGAAGCUACCGCCCUAACUCUGAGAAGAGGACCUCGGUAGGUGGGCAGUUUGGGUGGGGCGCCACGCCCUUGAAAAGAUAUCAAGGGCGCCCUAAGGUUGACUCAGUUGGGUCGGAAACCCAACAAAGAGUGUAAAGGCAUAAGUCAGCCUGAUGUUACCUCGCAUAGCAAGAGGUGAUAAGACGAAAGUCAGGCUUAGCGAACCUCUCAGCUCUCUUGGUGAGAGCGUUAGAUGACAGAAAAGCUACCCCGGGGAUAACAGAGUCGUCACCGGCAAGAGCACAUAUCGACCCGGUGGCUUGCUACCUCGAUGUCGGUUCUUUCCAUCCUGGCCGUGCAGCAGCGGCCAAGGGUGAGGUUGUUCGCCUAUUAAAGGAGAUCGUGAGCUGGGUUUAGACCGUCGUGAGACAGGUCGGUUACUAUCUGUUAGGGGUGUAUUGCGGUCUGAGGGCAGGUUGGUUUUAGUACGAGAGGAACAAGCCAACGGCACCUCUGGUCUAUCGGCUGUCUGGCAAGGCACGCCGAGCAGCUACGUGCUCGCGGAUAAGGGCUGAAAGCAUCUAAGCCCGAAACCGUCCCUGAAAAGAGACCGCUUAGAGUACUCGUAAAAGACGAGUUUGAUAGAGCUGGUGUGUAAGCACCAAGGCAACGAGGUGUUCAGCUCGCAGCUACUAACAACUCCGCAGCGCUG